CCCUUCUUCUGGUGCUUUCUGUAGAUUUUAGAGGCACAUGGGCUGGAAAUGAAGAAUGGAAAUGAUCAUGCCAACCCUCAGAUUUUGUCCCAUUGGGGUGGGGAUCUUAACCAAACAAAACUAGCCAAAAAGUUUCAGAACAGAGAGUGAAGAUCUCUUCAGAAGCACGGCUGAAGAGGUCAUGUCUGAGGAAUCAAAGUGGGAACUGAAACCGGAGUGUGUAACUGACCCUCAGGAGAGAUUUAGCACUGUGCUGCCUGCCCUCUGCCUGGGCGCUAAACUGGGAGAAUAAGACACCCAACCAUGAGAAAUGACUGCUUAUGUUUGAAGUCAGCGUGCUCUGGACUGUGUGGGCACUCUUUCUCCUGACUUUACCCAGCUUCUUCUUCAGAUGUACUUGGUUCAAAUGUGACAAAUGCUAUCCUCAUGAAAAAUAGAGGAGAAAUCAUUAGAUGAAAAAUUUACUGAAAAAAGGAAACAACAGCUGGAGUAAGUGAGAGAAAAAAUUGACUAAGAAAGGUAAUAUGAUGAGAUUAGAAGAAAAGGAAAUAGAUAUUGGUCUAAGUCUAUAUGAAGUGUUGAACCUUUGGAGAAGUUUACAGCUUACUGAUAUGAAGUAGAAAUUGAUUUCUUUUCAUGAUUUUUAGUAUCAUUUGUUACUUUAAAUUUUUGACAUCAUUGAAGCUGAAGUAUAGACCUUGCUUCUCUUUGUCAAGGGGAUACGAUUAAAAAGCUAUUUCAAUACGCAGAAUUUAAAUCCCAAUUAGUAGUGGACACUUAACUUGCAUAUGUUACAUGUACACUUUUAAAGUGAAAGAUUUUAAAUUUUAUGUUAUUUCCUUGUAUCUGCCAGGACUUCACGUUCCAUGUGCUUUCCUCUUUAAAAAAAUGUCCAGUGAGCUGCAAAGGAAACUACAAUCAGGCUUGCAUGUAUUACUGCUCUAUAGAAUCAAAACCCCUGAGAGCUUGUUUUGUGUUUUAUCUUCCCCAAAGACUUGUUAGCAGAGAACUGGUGAAAUGUUGAUAUCACAGGAGUCAUUACAUUGGAACAAUUACAUGAAGGAAUUUUAGUUGCAGUGUUUACAGCUUUUGGGCUGAGGGAGAGGAUGUCACCAGAAUACUGGAGGGAGAAAGAAAAUUUGUAAGGGAAAUCAAAGAUCAGGGAGCAAGAACAUAAGGAUUUUUAAUCUCAACUUUUUGCCUUUGGCACACAAAAUAGAAAAACAGAACAAGAUGGUUCAUACCGGUUUCAAAGCAGAUUGAUGUUAAAGAACGCAGCUUUCUGUUUUUGUUUUAUGUAUUGACAUCCUUCUAAGUGCUCUGACCAGAGUCAUCCUGUGUCUCAAAAUCAUGUUUUAGCAGAGAAAUAUAAAUAUCACCAAGCAUCUAAUCUUCCAAAGCAAUAGGAGCGAUAUAGCCAUAGCGUUUCAGUAUUUUAAAACUUGCUUCAACCUGAGAUGAUUCAAGUCGCUGACUUUCAAGAGGACAUAGACAAGAGCCUCUCGCUUAACUCCCUUUAAUUCUGAGGUCCGGUUGCUUGGCUUUAUUCAAUGUUAAGCCCCCAAAGCAAAGAGACUUUACUACACGGACUAAAAAAAGCCCCUCUCUUCCUUCUCUAACAAGCUGACCUGAAUUCUGAAUAGCUGUACUUUAUGCCCCUGGAAUUAAACAAAAAUAACUGCAAUUAAUAUCUCUCCUGCCAUAUGCCGUCUUUCAGUAGAAUAUUUUAUUAUUACCUUGUUUAAAAAUAAGUUUUUCAAUUAAUGGUCUUUUAGCAAAUAAAAACACUUUAUGGCUGGUGUGAGGUGCAUAAGCAAAUGUAAGAAGACCAGUUGCAUUCAACUUUAAGACUUAGUAACUCAGAUAAUUAUGCAGAACUAAUUAAUUCAAAAUCUGUUUAUCAACAAUAGAGUGUAGCUCCAGCAUUUCAUCCCAGAGGCAUUAACAAAGGCUUAUCACCUGCUUUUGUGUUGCAUUUUUGUCUCAAAGGCAAAUCAAUUGACAAAGGAUGUAAAAAAUGCCAUUCCCAUAACUAACACUUUAUAGAACUUGCAGGAACUUUUAAUAGCUGCUACCAAUUAAUUUCCCUGACUUAAAUUAAAAUAAUUUCUAAAUGGAAAUGAGAUGUGCUAAAAACAUCAACACAUUCACUACUAAUAUAUGUGCUAUGUGAAAAGGAAAUUUGAAAUACAAAGAAAUAUUUAAAGAAUUUAAAUAAUUGCUUAAGCAUUAGGCUGUUAUUCCUGUCAAAAUAUUCACUGUGCAGAACUUGUGCAGCACUAUACAUGCUUUAA